rnacentral:rRNA from 1 species
GGCCCUGCUUUUGUGGGGUGCUCGAGUGGCGAACGGGUGAGUAACACGUGAGUAACCUGCCCUUGACUUUGGGAUAACUUCAGGAAACUGGGGCUAAUACCGGAUAGGAGCUCCUGCUGCAUGGUGGGGGUUGGAAAGUUUCGGCGGUUGGGGAUGGACUCGCGGCUUAUCAGCUUGUUGGUGGGGUAGUGGCUUACCAAGGCUUUGACGGGUAGCCGGCCUGAGAGGGUGACCGGCCACAUUGGGACUGAGAUACGGCCCAGACUCCUACGGGAGGCAGCAGUGGGGAAUAUUGCACAAUGGGCGGAAGCCUGAUGCAGCAACGCCGCGUGCGGGAUGACGGCCUUCGGGUUGUAAACCGCUUUCGCCUGUGACGAAGCGUGAGUGACGGUAAUGGGUAAAGAAGCACCGGCUAACUACGUGCCAGCAGCCGCGGUGAUACGUAGGGUGCGAGCGUUGUCCGGAUUUAUUGGGCGUAAAGGGCUCGUAGGUGGUUGAUCGCGUCGGAAGUGUAAUCUUGGGGCUUAACCCUGAGCGUGCUUUCGAUACGGGUUGACUUGAGGAAGGUAGGGGAGAAUGGAAUUCCUGGUGGAGCGGUGGAAUGCGCAGAUAUCAGGAGGAACACCAGUGGCGAAG